rnacentral:rRNA from 1 species
GGCUGCCGAAAAUACUGCAUAGCUAGGGAGUGGGAGAGGUAGACGGUACUCGGUAGGAAGGGGUAAAAUCCUUUGAUCUAUCGAUGACCACCUGUGGCGAAGGCGGUCUACCAGAACACGUUCGACGGUGAGGGAUGAAAGCUGGGGGAGCAAACCGGAUUAGAUACCCGGGUAGUCCCAGCUGUACACGAUGCAGACUCGAUGAUGCAUUGGCAUAUAGCCAGUGCAGUGUCGCAGGGACGCCGUUAAGUCUGCCGCCUGGGAAGUACGUACGCAAGUAUGAAACUUAAAGGAAUUGGCGGGGGAGCACCACAAGGGGUGAAGCCUGCGGUUCAAUUGGAGUCAACGCCAGAAAUCUUACCCGGAGAGACAGCAGAAUGAAGGUCAAGCUGAAGACUUUACCAGACAAGCUGAGAGGUGGUGCAUGGCCGUCGCCAGCUCGUGCCGUGAGAUGUCCUGUUAAGUCAGGUAACGAGCGAGAUCCUCGCCACUAGUUGCUAUCAUUAUUCUCAGGAAUAGUGGGGCGAAUUAGUGGGACUGCCGUUGUUAAAACGGAGGAAGGAAGGGGCUACGGCAGGUCAGUAUGCCCCGAAACUCUGGGGCCACACGCGGGCUGCAAUGGUAGCGACAAUGAGCUCCAAACUCGAAAGAGAGUGGCAAUCUCUAAACGCUACCACAGUUAUGACUGAGGGCUGUAACUCGCCCUCACGAAUAUGGAAUCCCUAGUAACCGCGUGUCAUUACCGCGCGGUGAAUACGUCCCUGCUCCUUGCACACACCGCCCGUCGUUUCAUCGAAGUUUGCUUUUAGCGAGGUGAUGUUUAAUUGGCAUUAUCGAACUUGAGGUAAGCGACGAGGGAAAAGUCGUAACAAGGUGUCCGUAGGGGAACCUGCGGACG